rnacentral:rRNA from 1 species
AUUGAACGCUGGCGGCAGGCCUAACACAUGCAAGUCGAACGAGUGGCGGACGGGUGAGUAAUGUCUCGGAAACUGCGCGAUGGAGGGGGUUAACUACUGGAAACUGUUGCCAAUACCGCAUACCAGAGGCUAGGCCCAGUUGGGUUUGGCUAGGGGGGGGGGUAACGGCUCACCAAGGCGACGAUCCCUACCUGGUCUGAGAGGAGGAACAGCCAAACUGGAACGGAGACACGGUCCAGACUCCUACGGGAGGCAGCAGUGGGGAAUAUUGCACAAUGGGCGAAAGCCUGAUGCAGCCAUGCCGCGUGUAUGAAGAAGGCCUUCGGGUUGUAAAGUACUUUCAGUGAGGAGGCGUUACUCGCAGAAGAAGCACCGGCUAACUCCGUGCCAGCAGCCGCGGUAAUUC